CACUCUUCCCAAAAAAUUAACUUCUUUUACCUUAAUUGUCCUUGUAUGUUCCAUGUGCCAAGGUUAUGUGAAAAUUUAAAACCUUAUCACUUGUAUUCUGAUGGACAUCUAUGAAAGAGGAGUGAAAGUUUGUUGUGCUCAACUUUCUUGCAUCUGUCAUUAUCCUAUUGUUAUACAUUCAUGAAAUAAGCAUGUACUCAUGGUUGUCCCUUUUUUUUUCUUUUUCUUAGGGGUGAUAUCAUUAUCAGCUGACCUCUCUAGUGUAGUAUUUACCAUCUGUCUUUUUGGUCAUCAAUUAUUUUGCAGUAUGAGGCUGCUUGGCAUGCUGGAAACUGGAAUUUUUCCUUGCUUUACAUGGGAGAUAAUUCACAGAGUGAGCAAAACUAAAAGUGGCCAUUUCAAUGAAAAUCUGCACAGAUAUUUCGACUGGUUUCCCUGUGGUUCACUCUAUGAGAUAGACAAGAUAUCAUAACUAACAUUGCAUGGCCAGCUGAUAAAGUCAUAAUUAGCUAAGAAAAUGGACUCACAACAAAGACAAGUGCACAAAGGAUGAUGAAUUGAAGGAUGGAGCAAGUUUCAUGCAUGGUUUACU